rnacentral:rRNA from 1 species
GGAGCCUGCGGUUUAAUUGGAUUCAACCCCCGGCAUUUCACCGGGGGCGACGGCAGAGUGAAGGCCAGGCUGACGACCUUGCUUGACUCGCCGAGAGGUGGUGCAUGGCCGCCGUCAGCUCGUAUCGUGAGACGUCCUGUCAAGUCAGGUAACGAGCGAGACACUCGCCUCUAGUUGCCAUCGGAUUCCUUUGGAAUGCCGGGCACUCUAGGGGGACCGCUGGCGAUAAGCCAGAGGAAGGAGAGGGCGACGGUAGGUCCGUAUGCCCCGAAUCCCCCGGGCAACACGCGGGCUACAAUGCGCAGGACAGAGGGCUGCGACCCCGAAAGGGGAAGCCAAUCCCUAAACCUGCGCCUAGUUCGGAUCGAGGACUGAAACCCGUCCUCGUGAAGCUGGAAUCCCUAGUAACUGCGUGUCAUUAUCGCGCGGUGAAUACGUCCCUGCUCCUUGCACACACCGCCCGUCAAGCCAUCCGAGUGGGAUUUGGAUGAGGCUUGUUCGUUCUUCGAGCGGGUCAAAUCCGGGUUCCGCAAGGAGGGCUAAGUCGUAACAAGGUAACC